CAGCAGCCGCGGGAAUACGUAGGUGGCAAGCGUUGUCCGGAAUUAUUGGGCGUAAAGGGCUCGCAGGCGGUUUCUUAAGUCUGAUGUGAAAGCCCCCGGCUCAACCGGGGAGGGUCAUUGGAAACUGGGAAACUUGAGUGCAGAAGAGGAGAGUGGAAUUCCACGUGUAGCGGUGAAAUGCGUAGAGAUGUGGAGGAACACCAGUGGCGAAGGCGACUCUCUGGUCUGUAACUGACGCUGAGGGGCGAAAGCGUGGGGAGCGAACAGGAUUAGAUACCCCUGUAGUCCCUGUCUCUUAUAC
rnacentral:rRNA from 1 species